rnacentral:misc_RNA from 1 species
UCGAGCGUCAUUUCAACCCAUCAAGCUUCGGCUUGGUCUUGGGGCCUGCGGUUUCGCAGCCUCUAAACUCAGUGGCGGUGCUUCUGAGCUCUGAGCGUAGUAAUUUUUUCUCGCUAUAGGGUCUCGGAGGUUACUUGCCAACAACCCCCAAUUUUUAUCAGGUUGACCUCGGAUCAGGUAGGGAUACCCGCUGAACUUAA